UCUCUUUUGUUCAUUUGAUCUUGAGUUCCUGUCCUAAAAUGAGUUUUUUUUUUGGUUUUAAGUUGUGUAUAAGUUGUGUAUUUAGUAUUCAUUGUGUUGCUUUAGUUGUGUUCAUCUUGAAGUCGGUUUAUUGGUUUUAUGCUGUCUAUUUGGUAUAUUGUUACGUUUUUUUAUCUUCUUGAAUGAUUGAGUGAUGUUUGUAUUUUUUUACGUAAGAAAUUUGAGUGUUUGAAGUCUUGAAGCUUAGGAUAUAAUAUUGAAGAGUAAGAAAAUAGGGUAGGGUUUCUUUUUGAGUUGUCUCCGCUAGAAGUUAAACUGGUAUUGCAAUUAUUUGAGAAAGUUCUGUUUAUCAGUUGUGAGCGGUAAUAGGCCAGAUAUGUUUUUGUGGUAUGUUCUUGAUUGCUAUUUUACUGCUAAUAUUUUGUUAAUCCAAUUUUUAGAUUACCUGUGAUUGCUUGAUGUUUGUAAAUAGUCUUGUAGAAAUAACAUAAAAAGUAAUUGAUGCUAUGGAAGUUUGCAUUGUUGGAGGCUCCUUGUAAUCACCUAAACCAGUUACCCUUGGUACUAAUCAAUUUGGAAAACGUUGCUGAUGUUUUGUGCAUAAUAGUGAAAUUUCAUUUUGAAACACCCUAAUGCUCUGUAACAUUCUUAUAAGUUAAUAACUUACGUGUAAGUUAAUACCUAUUUGUCCUUGUUGUUUGCCUCUGUCAACCUUUCUCCUCAUCUUGCCCCCAUUCUCAGCCUGUACAUUUCUUUCAGGAGGGCAGGGUACUUUUAUAUUUCUUGAUUGGCCAACUUAAAUAGUCAUCAACACCUUACACGAGUUUGUUACUCUUGCUUUCAACUUUACUUGGAUCGUAUUGAGCUAGGCAUGUACUGUUGUUUAGGUAUAUUUUUCUUAGAUGUGUCCUUUAAUCAGUUCCAACUUCCAAAAUAUUGUUGGGUCAAAAAUCAAGAUUUACGAGACUUCUUCAAUUCUGCUUUGUGAUUUGACCUUCUGUUGUUGCAUCAUAUCACCUACCCCUUUUUCUUAGGGGGUGGGGGAGUUACAAAGUUAGAUUCCAACGUUUGCAAUGUAUUUUUCCCAUCUCCUCCAUGCCAACAUCUCUUCCCAGCAAAUUAAAAGAGUAUAUUCCCAUCUUCCCAUGCCAACAUCAUAUCAUUGUCCUUGAAAAUUCUUUGUUGAUUCUUGACUCUCGUGACAUGCUUCAGUGUCGCUGCUGCAAGGGGAAGAUGCAACUAUCCAAACAUUUUUGUCUACAAAAGAAAGAGGAUAGCUACUUGCGAAGGCCCGAUCAGUUGACAUUUGAUCUUGAUUCCUUAUUACCAUUCCAAAGUUGAUAGUGCUUAAUUCAACUGUUCAAAUUGUAUAUACCACUGGUAUAUAGUGUAGUAUGUGGGGGUAGUGUUGUAGAUGGACACUUGUUCUUUCCGUGUAGUAUGUUUGGAUAGUUUUGUAGAUGAACACUGGUUCUUUCUGUGUAGUACUUGUUUGCUGGUUACAUUGUGCAAUUUGUGAAUAAAAUCUGAUUGUGAGUUUA